rnacentral:tRNA from 1 species
AAGAAAUUAGUUAAAUCAUAACAUUAGAAUGUCAAACUAAAAUUAUUAAAUAUUAAUAUUUCUUA